rnacentral:rRNA from 1 species
CAUGAAGCUGGAGUUACUAGUAAUCGCAGAUCAGAAUGCUGCGGUGAAUGCGUUCCCGGGUCUUGUACACACCGCCCGUCACACCACGGAAGUUGGGGGCGCCCGAAGCCACUUAGCUAACCCUUUUGGGAAGCGAGUGUCGAAGGUGAAAUCAAUGACUGGGGUGAAGUCGUAACAAGGUAAC